rnacentral:rRNA from 1 species
CGUAGGGGCAAGCGUUGUCCGGAUUUACUGGGGCGUAAAGAGCGUGUAGGCGGCCGCGCAGGUCUGUUGUGAAAACUGGAGGCUCAACUUCCAGACGUCGACAGAAACCGUGCGGCUAGAGUCCGGAAGAGGAGAGUGGAAUUCCUGGUGUAGCGGUGAAAUGCGCAGAUAUCAGGAAGAACACCAAUGGCGAAGGCAGCUCUCUGGGACGGUACUGACGCUGAGACGCGAAAGCGUGGGAGCGAACAGGAUU